rnacentral:rRNA from 1 species
GCCUAGCCCUAAACCUUGGUAAUAUAUCACAUACCCUACCCGCCUGGGAACUACGAGCACCAGCUUAAAACCCAAAGGACUUGGCGGUGCUUUAGACCCCCCUAGAGGAGCCUGUUCUAGAACCGAUAACCCCCGUUCAACCUCACCCUUCCUUGUUUAUCCCGCCUAUAUACCGCCGUCGUCAGCUUACCCUGUGAAGGCCUAAAAGUAAGCACAACUGGCACAACCCAAAACGUCAGGUCGAGGUGUAGCGCAUGGAGGGGGAAGAAAUGGGCUACAUUCCCUAUAAUAGGGAACACGAACGGCGCACUGAAACACGCGCCUGAAGGAGGAUUUAGUAGUAAGCGGAAAAUAGCGUGUUCCACUGAAAUCGGCCCUGAAGCGCGC